CCCGGUGGCAAUAGCGAAGGGGCAACACCCGUUCCCAUUUCGAACACGGAAGUUAAGCCCUUCAGCGCCGAUGGUACUGCCCUGGCGACGGGGUGGGAGAGUAGGACACUGCCGGGA
rnacentral:rRNA from 1 species